CAGACAGUCAGAACGAAUAUAUGUGCACUUGAGUAUUUAGGCCUAUAUUUUUUUUCUUCUUCUUUUAAUUAGUUAAUUAUGUUCAUUUAAAUAUUUUGAAUAUUUAUAUCUUAAUUUUCGUUUCAAAUUUUAUAAAUAGAUUCGGCUCUUCUGAAAUGCGAGCCGGCUCCCAACGUUCACCUACAAGACUCGUUCGCGAACGGCACAAAGCAGUCUGGACUGGUUGAAGCAGAGUGGGAAGGAUUUUUUAAUUUUACCUUUUAACCAGGCAAGUCAGUUAAGAACAAAUUCUUAUUUUCAAUGACGGCCUGGGAACAGUGGGUUAACUGCCUGUUCAGGGGCAGAACGACAGAUUUGUACCUUGUCAGCUCGGGGGUUUGAACUCGCAACCUUCCGGUUACUAGCCCAACGCUCUAGCCACUAGGCUACCCUUGAAAGUGUUUCAGUCUGCCGUGAAUCAUCAUAAUCCAUACACUGCAUAAACCUGCUCUCCGCCACCAACAAAAGGAGAUGAUUGAGGGUGAACAUGCAACACAUCAGCUUUAGUUGUCUGGAGCCUGGUGGUGUUGUGGCCAUGGAGCUUUCACUUAGAUGGAACCAGGUUACAGCUGCUGUGCAACGUUGACGUCCUUCCUCACAGACAUGUGAAUGCAUCCCCCGGACUGGACACAACCUGG